rnacentral:lncRNA from 1 species
GGCCGGCCGGCAGGGGCGGGGGCAGGAGUCGCCGACUCUGGGGGUGCUCCGAGCUCGUGCUGCGGUCCCACUGUGCGCCCUGUCGCCGCCACCGCGGAAAACGUCUUGCACGUGCGAGGGGCAUUUCAGGAGUUUCCUGUCUGUCAGUGCCUUGUUCUGAUGCCCAGUCUGGAGUGCAGUGGUGUGAUCUUGGCUCACUGCAACCUCCACCCACUGGGUUCCAGCGAUUCUUCCACCUCAGCCUCCUGAGUAGCUGGGAUUACAGGCUGGAGUGAAGUGGCACGAUCUCGGCUCACUGCAACCUCUGUCUCCCGGGUUCAAGCAAUUCUCCUGCCUCAGCCUCCCAGACAGGGUCUCACUUUGUUGCCCAGGCUGGAGUGCAAUGGCACAAUCAUGGCUCACUGCGCCCUCCACCUCCCAGGCUCAAGCCAUCCUCCUAUCUCAGCCUCCUGAGUAGUUGAGACAACAGGCAUGUGCCACCAUGUCUGGCUAAUAUUUUAAUAAAAUUUUUUGUAGAGACAGGUUCUCCAU